rnacentral:lncRNA from 1 species
UCAAUGUUGUAUAUGAUGAUGAUAUGCUUAAAAAUGUUGAAUCAUGUUUUUUGUGUUUAGGUGAUUCGCAUAUGGCAUAUAUAAUCAUGUACAAGGCUCGUGAUGUCUGAUCUCUUCUAAUGGGUUACCUUUGAUUAGUUAAAGGAUUCAUUAUAAAAAGAAUGAAUAGAAUAGUCAACAGGUGGGUCAUUGUUUUUAUUUUACACCUUAGAUGAAUGCUGGUUAGUUAGAUACUCUUAUUUGUUUAAUGUAGAAAAAGCAAGAUACGUUAAAUUGCACCAAACUCAAUCAUAGACAUGCUAGAAUUGGUACUUGAAGACAGUACAUAUGAUGAGUUCAUGUAAAAAUGCACUAUAUUCCUAACGUAGAUACAAUAGAUCUACAAGAAUAUAUUGAAUGCAAUACACCUUCAAUGAAACUAACAGCAAGACCAAACUUAGUGAUACCGUGAAUCAACCAUCCUUUGUCAAAUCAAAAAUAGGAACAACUUGGAUGUUUAUUUUGCCAUGGCCGAACCAAAAGCUUGAUCAGCUGUGGUCAUCUACACCCACGCUAUAGCAAGCUAGCACUGCAUUGCUACCUCCCACAAUUCUUCUAAAUUUGUUAUCUUGAUUAAAACCUUACUCUUAGCAAAUUCCAAGAAUACAAUUUUACAAAUUCUACUAUCUCUUCUAUUGAUGAUUCUUUAUUUUAUUUUUUAUCAUGUGCUUUCGAAAAUUAUCCAUAUGCAUNNNNNNNNNNNNNNNUUGGCAACCAUCACUAAAAGUUUUGAAGACGUUCUAUAGUGACAUUUGGAAGUAUUACUCAUUACGUCUAGCCACUCUGCCAUCUCACACCACACUCUAGAGAAGAAUUGACAUUUGAAAAACAAAUAGUUUGCCAUUUUAAUUCUCUCAUUACGCCUCACUCCUUUGUCCUCCGUAGGAAUUUGAAAUUAUUCAAUGUCUUUCUCCCAACACACUUUAUCCCAUUUUACCUAGUAUACUUUUUUCGCUUUCUCAAUCCCUCCCUACAAAAAUUGUUUAAAUAAAGAUUUAGCUUUAAAAUUAGGUCUAAUGGAGUGUUGAAGAAGGACAAAUAGAAGACAAAGAGCCUAGAGAGAACAUAGCGCAACUUGACAAUUUAAUAUCUUAUUGAAAUAUUCUUACUCUUUCAAGACAAUAAUAUAUUUCUCACCUUCAACAAAAUUGUUUCUCAAGUCUUCUUACUUCAGGGAUUUUCCCGUAUAGGUAAACCUAAAUAAAUGAAUGGGAAUUUUCCAACUUAAUAAUUUAACAACUUUGCAAAGUCUAGUAACAAAUCUCCAAUACAUUUACACGCAUCAAACUACUUUUAUGAAAAUUGACCUUCAACUUUGAUAAUUGCUUGCACAUUUUUCCACCUUUUGCACUCCAUACAAUUGUGUGGUAUCAACAAACAGUGAGUGUAAGACAUGUUGAUUAUGAUUUCUAAAUCUAUACCCUACAUUUUUUUUUCUUUCUAAUACCACUACUUUUUCAUCAUGGCAUCUAAACCUUCAGUUGGGACGAGGAAGAGAAAAGGUGACAAAAGUCGCUCAACUCCUUUUCCAUAAUAAAGUGCUUUGUCGGACUUCCAUUGACCAACACAAAAAUUAUUAAUGUGUUCAAACAUUCCUUUAUCCAUUUCCUCAAUUAAUCACAAAAAUCCAUUAGAUUGUUCUCCCUAUCUUGUCUUGAACUUUUCCUCUCAGCCACAACGACCAAUCGCGCUUCUUGGUCUUGAUCCCUUAGACUAUGUCUGCUUCUUAUAUUUUUUAUUUUUCAGGUUCUUACUAUUUUCUUCUUCCUACUAAAUUAAUUUCUCUCUAUAAAUAGAUAAACUAUGUAAUAUGAAAUGAUAAAUCAACUGAUAUCAAACAAACUCUAGCACUCUAAUUAGCAACUCAACUACUACCUAUUACCAAACUAUAACAAACUUUUAUAUGUUAUGUUAAUAAUUGAUAUAUGAUAUGUUGUGAUACUAUUUGUUAAUUGUAAAUUUUAUAGUUAAUUUGUGAACUUUAUGAUAAAACUCUUUUAGCAUAUUAUAUUGUUUUAGUUAAUUUGUAAAUGUCUCUUUUCACAUAUUAUAUUUUUAUUUUGAAUUGAUGUUAUGUUGAAUCUUUGAUAAAACACUUUUACGAAUUUCAAUUGUAAUAUUUUAAUUAAUAUUUGUCGCUCUCCCAAUAUUUUGGACAAGAUCCGCCACUGGUUGUAUGUAACUCCAAUACACAAAAUCACAUGUUUUCUCAAAAUCAACAUUUGCCUAAGGGGAACGGUUAAUGCUUACCAAAGGGGGGUUAAAAAUAGCUGAAUUGGAGGUAAAUGUGUCUACUGUUACUCUACAAAUCUAUCUUUUAUAUUGAUUAUGAAUAAAUGGUGAGAAUGACUCUUAAUCUCUUAAUUCCUAUUUUGAUUUUUAUGCCUACUUGGAAUUCCACCCCAUCCCCUUCAAAUCUGCAUAGUAACCAAAACAAAAAAUGAAAGAAAUAGAGACAAUGAGAAAGUGCAACAAAAAAAAAAAACAUAACCUGCUCAACUUGUGACUCAAUUUAUUUUAUGAGUUUUAAGAGUUCCAUGCCAGUUCUCAUUUAUCUCAGUAUUAUUUGAAUCAUUUUCUAUAUGUCUGUCCAUACUCCAUCAAAUACUCUUCUUAUGUUGGCAUUAAUAAGAGACAAUGCCUCUCACAAUCUUUAAUCUUUCUUCCAUUAUUCUUGGAUGCUGCACUUGAAACUAUAAUAGCGGUAUAAUGUAUUUUGCAUCCUUCUGACUCAUUUUGUAGUUACAUUAUAUUACUAUAUACAUUGUAGUCAGUCUUCAUGCACUUGACAACUAUGUAGAGAUCAGAUGUUAAUACAUAGUCUGGGAAUUAGUUUGAUACUUGCAUUUUUAUUUUGAGUGCUUGAUCUUAUUUAAGUUUAAUUUUAAGUACUUAAUCCCUAAGAUUUAGAGGGUUAAAAAAAAUCUUGAAUAUGUGUGAAGAAGUAUGUUGAAAUUGAGUUUAAUAUGAUAAAAUGAUUUUUCAUCAUCUCAAUUGAAGCAAAGAGCGUCCAAUAUAUAUGAGAUAAAUUUAUUAUUGUCUCCCUUAUCUUUUAUCUUUCACCUUGUCAAAGCAUAUGAAAAAGACUUUUUACCUUUUUUACCCUCUACUAUUUGAUAGUAAACAUUUCUGAAGUUAUUAACAUUUUGAUAAUUUUAAAUUUUCGAUUUUUUUAAAGAGUUCUAGAAAAAUUGCAUUUCGAAAACUGUGUUCAUCCAAAUUCUUGAUUGUUUUUUUCUUAAUUUUUAAAAAAAUUGCAUUUUAGAAGUUUCACAUUUGUUCAAAUUUUUCAAAUUUUUCAAAUUUUAUUAAACUUUUGAAAAAAAAUACAUUUCAGAAGUUUCACAUUCAUUCAAAAUUUUGAAUUUUUUUAAAACUUUUAAAAAAAUUGCAUUUAAAAAGUUUCAUAUGUAUCAAAAGUUUCGAUCUUUUUUUAAACUUUUGAAAAAAUUACAUUUCAAACGUUUCACAUUAUUUCAAAGUUUCAAACUUCUUUUAAACUUUUAGAAAUUUUUUACUAUCAAGUAGUUUAAGGUAAAAUUAUCUUGUCAUGUGUUUUAAAGGAGUGAGUAAAUGUGAGAUGGUGGAUGAUAACUUUCUCUAUAUAUGAGGAAUUAUUAAGUGAGAGGAGUUUUCACAUGAGAUAGUGAAAUAAUUAAAUUUUAAUCAUACAAUCAUACAUAGCUGACUGUGAUAGAAAGUAUCGUAUAGUCACUUAAAAAAGUCACAUGACUUUUUGUUUUAAUUUUAACUAUUCAUGACUUGAUCAAUGACUAAGAUUUAUCCUUUUUACAUUCUCAUUUUAAAACUCAUCCCAUUUGAUAUGUUUCCUAUAUAUAUAUACUUAUAUAUUUUUCUAGGCAACAAACUUUAAAUCGCCAAAAGAUGAUAGACGUUCCUCUGAGUCUAGUUAUUGGCCUGAGGAUCAUGGAACAAUAUCACUAAAAACAAUUUAUAUAUUUUUUUGAACUUCUAAGUUUGAUGUAGUUGUUUUGUAUGUUUAGCCACUUCAAAAUAUUUUGGUUUUAUAAUGUUCAAAUUACUUUAUUUAUUCGUUUAAUUAAGUUCUAGUAUAGAGGUCGUUAGUUUUGAAUAUAUUAUAUGAAUGAGAUUUAGCCAUUUACAAUUAAAUAUUUAUAUAUCUUAAUUAUAUGAAUGAUAUUUUUAAAUAUUAUUCAAAUUAAUUUAAAAUUAAUUGUUAUUUAAUAAGUUAUUAAAAUAAAUUUAAUGAAACUUGAAAAACCAAGUCAGCAAUUGGACAAGAGAUUUUAACGGCAAUAGUGCCUAAUUCUUAGCUUCUAACGGCUGCAUUACAUAUGGAUCAUUAAUCUUUAAGUUUACUUUUUAGAUAUUCAACAAAUACAGUAUUCACUUGUACCUACUUCUAUCUAAUUACUCUAAAAGUCAAUUUCCAAGUAAAACUUACAUCAGCUUCUCCUUCUCUUAAAAUAAGGUCAUGGCAAGAACUAAAGUCAAUUUGUGCAGCCUUAGCCCCUAUAAGCUGUGAAUGUUUUUAAUCAACUUUAUCAUUUUUGGUGGCUUAAGUCCUCACAAAUUUGUGGCGGACUGUGUCACAAAUUUGUGAGGGCUUAAGCUUUCACAAAUGAUAAUAAAAAAACCAACUUUUGUGGUCGUUUUUGCCGCCACAAAAAUUUGUGAAAUUUGUGAUGUGAUGGGGUUAUUUGUGAGUGUCUUAGGCCGCUUCAAAUGUGUCUGUUGUAGUUGUUUUUCUCCCUUUGUGAGGGCUAUUGGCUGCCACAAAAUCUGAGUUUUCUUGUAGUGAUAAACCUAUUGGAAUAAGUUGAUAUUGUUGGGUUUUUGGCUCCCUUCCUAUGUGGAGAAAGGCCCAAUAUGUGCAAGCCCAUGUGUCUCACUUAACCAAGUGAAGAGAGGUCAGAUUAGUGAGAGAGAGAGAGCUGAAAUCAGAGAGUGAGGCAAAGAGAAAAGCGAGAGAGGAAGAGCAAAAUCCAUUUUCGCAUAAAAUAGAGCAGCUGCACUAGAUUCACGAUUUCUCCUUCGUUCACCGUUGGAUCGGGCUGCAAUUUGGACAGCAGGUUCGUGACUCAUGGUACUUCCAUCUAACUGGUUGGAUCGUCGAUCGGAGGUCUGAGGUGGGAGAUAUUGAGCUCGUACAGUAGCAGUAUUUCCUGGUUUUUCUGCUGAACUUUGUUCUCAAUUUCAUGUUUGUUUUCUCAUUGUUUUGGCUGAUUGUUGUGCUGGUUACCUUGCUAUUUUUUGGCUGGUUACUGAGCACGAAUUUGUACCAUAUUUGAAACUCUCAUGUACCCAUAUUGUGUCCUUUGUGGUAGUGAUUUUAGUUGCUGUGAUUAUUUGUUGUUGCUCCUCACAGAUUCUUGCAAGUUUGGGAAAUUGAUUAUCCGCUGCAUAUUGCUCUGUUAGAGUUGUUAUUGUUAUUUGUUGUUGAAUUUCCCAUCAGAGUGGCAUCAGAGCUCUUUGGUUAAGGGGCUGUUUGACUUGUUUGAAUGAUGGAGGCAAAUAAAAAUAGAAUGAUUUGUUUGAAUGACACUAAUUAUCACUUAUGGAAGGGAAAAAUGAAGGAUCUGUUAUUUGUGAAGAAUUUGCAUCUUCCUGUGUUUGCUAGUGAGAAGCCAGAAUCCAAGACUGAUGAGGAUUGGAGUUUUGAACAUCAGCAGGUUUGUGGUUUUAUUCGGCAAUAUGUAGAAGACAAUGUUUAUAAUCACAUUGCUAAUGAGGAACAUGCAAGAUCCUUGUGGAAGAAGAUUGAAUCUUUGUAUGCUUCUAAAUCAGGGAAUAAUAAGUUGUAUUUGUUGAACUCCUUGAUGAAUUUGAGGUACAAGGAGGGGACUUCUAUUUCAGAUCACUUAAAUGAUUUUCAAGGGCUCCUAGAUCAAUUGUCAGGUAUGGGUAUCAAAUUUGAUGAUGAAGUGUUGGGACUAUGGCUACUGAAUACUCUACCAGAUUCUUGGGAAAUGUUUCGGGUUUCAAUUACAAACUCAGCUUCUGAUGGUGUUGUCUCUUUGCAAAGUGUAAAGGGAAGUGUUCUUAAUGAGGAGAUGAGAAGGAAGGCACAAGGUACUUCAUCUCAUUCUGAGGUACUUGUCACUGAGAACAGGGGCCAUAGCCAAAGAAAGGAACCGAAAGGGAACAGACAGAAUAACAGAAGUGCGAGUAGAGAGAACAACAGAAGUAAGUCCAAGUCCAGAUACAAGAAUGUGGAGUGCAAUUAUUGUCACAAAAUGGGGCACAUACAGAGGAACUGUUUCAUAUGGAAAAGGGAGAGCAAAAACAAUAACAGUAAGCAGAGAGAUAAGAAUCAUGAUGAUGAUGACCGUGUUACUACUGCUACUUGUGAUGAUCUGAUUAUUCUCCGUGACUAUGACUCAGUCAAUCUUGUAUCAGAUGAGAGCAUCUGGAUUAUUUAUAGUGGUGCUACAUUGCAUGUUACACCAAAGAAGGAGUUCUUCACAUCUUACACUUCUAGUGACUUUGGAGUGUUGAACAUGGGUAAUGAUGGUGAGUCUAAGGUAGUUGGUAUUGGUGAUGUUUGUUUGCAAACCAACAUGGGAGUACAGUUGUUGCUUAGAGGAGUCAAACAUGCUCCAGAUGUUCGCUUUAAUUUGAUCUCUGUGCAGAUGCUUGAUGAUGGUGGUUAUGAUAAUCACUUUGGUUCAGGAAAAUGGAAACUCACCAGAGGUAACUUAGUUGUGGCCAGAGGGGAGAAAAUUAAUAAACUGUAUUGGACUAAAGCAUUGGUUGCUAAAGACAGUGUGAAUGCCAUGGAUAUGGAGGCUUCUUUGUGGCACCGCAGGCUUAGUCAUAUCAGUGAAAAGGGGCUGAAUUUUUUAGCUAAAAAGGAUUUACUUCCGGGAUUAAAGAGUUCAGAGUUGGAGAAAUGUUCUCAUUGCAUGGCUCGUAAGCAGACUAGAGUAUCCUUCAAGAAACAUCCUCCCUCAAGGAAGUCAGAGUUGCUUGAAUUGGUGCAUUCUGAUGUUUGUGUCCCGUUGAAGGUAAAGUCAUUUAGUGAUGCACUUUACUUUGUUACUUUUAUUGAUGAUUGUUCCAGGAAGCUUUGGGUCUAUGCUUUGAAGACAAAAGACCAAGUUCUGGAGAAAUUCAAAGAGUUCCAUGUUAUGGUGGAGAGACAGUCAGGCAAGAAGUUCAAAUGCAUUCGUACUGACAAUUGUGGUGAGUAUUGUGGACCAUUUGAUGUUUAUUGCAAGCAGCACGGUAUCAAACAUGAAAAGACUCACAUGAAAAGACUCCUCCUAAAACUCCUCAGCUGAAUGGUUUAGCAGAGAGAAUGAACAAGACAUUGAUUGAAAGAGUUAGGUGUAUGCUUUCUGAAGCAAAGUUGCCUAAGCAUUUCUGGGGUGAAGCAUUGUACACGGCAGUGCAUGUUAUUAAUCUGAGUCAUGCAGUUGCUUUGAAUGUUGAGGUGCCAGACAAGAUUUGGUUUGGCAAGAAUGUCAGGUAUGAUCAUUUGCGUGUCUUCGGUUGCAAAGCAUAUGUGCAUGUUCCAAAGGAUGAGAGAUCCAAGUUGGAUGCGAAGACAAGACAAUGCAUCUUUAUCGGUUAUGGUCAGGAUGAAUUUGGCUACAAGUUGUAUGAUCCAGUUGAGAAGAAAGCUGUUAGAAGCCGUGAUGUGAAGUUCAUGGAAGACCAAACGAUUGAAGACAUUGAUAGGAUGGAGAAGACUACACCUGAGAUUGAUAAUGGUUUGUCUGAUGUUGAUCCAGUUCGGAUGCCUAUACAUGAUCUGGAUACUGCUGAAAAUAAUGUUCAGAAUGAUGAGCAACAUGGUGAUGUUGGUGAUCAGCAGCUUGGAGAUGAUUUUGAUGUUCCUAAUGAUGAUGCUGAAGAAGAACAUGAGAUGUCACAAGAUGAGGAUCUUGGUGAUGCUCCUGAACCACCUCAAGCUCAAGUUUGGAGGUCUACUAGGCAGAGGAAACCAUCCACCAGGUAUCCUUCUGAUGACUAUGUUACCUUGACUGAUGGAGGCGAACCUGAAUGUUAUGAUGAAGCCAUGGAGAGUGAUGAAAAGAAGAAGUGGUUGGAUGCUAUGCAAGAUGAAAUGAAGUCUUUGCAUGAUAAUCACACUUUUGAUUUGGUGAAACUACCUAAGGGAAAGAAGGCUUUGGAAAACAGGUGGAUCUUCAGAGUGAAGCAAGAAAGCAAUUCUACAUCUCCAAGAUAUAAAGCCAGAUUAGUUGUGAAAGGUUUCAGACAGAGAAAGGGUGUUGAUUUCAAUGAGAUUUUUUCUCCUGUGGUGAAGAUGUCAUCCAUUAGAACUGUGUUGAGUUUGGCUGCUACUCUUGAUUUGGAGGUAGAGCAAAUGGAUGUAAAAACUGCUUUCCUUCAUGGUGAUUUGGAGGAAGAGAUUUACAUGAAGCAACCUGAUGGUUUUCUUGUUAAAGGCAAAGAAGACUAUGUGUGUAGGCUCAGAAAGAGUCUAUAUGGUUUGAAGCAGGCCCCGCGUCAGUGGUACAAGAAGUUUGAGUCAGUUAUGUGUGAGCAAGGCUACAGGAAGACUACUUCUGAUCACUGUGUCUUUGUUAAAAAGUUUGCUGAUGAUGAUUUCAUUAUCUUGUUAUUGUAUGUUGAUGACAUGCUUAUUGUUGGGAAAAAUAUUUCCAUGAUUAUCAGGUUGAAGAAGCAAUUGGGCGAGUCAUUUUCCAUGAAAGACAUGGGAGCUGCUAAGAAGAUUCUUGGUAUAAGAAUCAUGUGUGACAGGAACAAGAAGAAACUUUGGCUGUCACAAGAACACUAUGUUGAAAGAGUAUUACAGAGGUUCCAGAUGGAAAAUGCUAAGGCUGUAAGUACUCCUCUUGCUACUCAUUUUAAAUUGAGUACUAGUCAGAGUCCUCCCAAUGAAGCUGAAAAAUCAGAUAUACAACGAGUUCUUUACGUAUCUGUUGUGGGUAGUUUAAUGUAUGCAAUGGUGUGUACAAGGCCUGAUAUUGCACAUGUUGUUGGUACAGUUAGUAGAUUUCUGUCUAAUCCAGGUAGAGAGCAUUGGAAUGCUGUGAAAUGGAUUUUGAGGUAUCUUCGUGGUACUACCAGUUUGAGGCUUUGUUUUGGAGGUGAUAAGCCUACUCUUGUGGGAUAUACUGAUUCUGAUAUGGCUGGAGACAUUGAUUCCAGAAAGUCUACUUCAGGCUACUUGAUUAAGUUUGCAGGGGGAGCUGUGGCAUGGCAAUCUAGAUUGUAGAGAUGUGUUGCAUUGUCCACUACUGAGGCAGAGUUCAUUGCCAUUACAGAAGCAUGCAAGGACUUGUUAUGGUUGAAGAAAUUCUUGCAGGAGCUUGGUUUUGUUCAAGAUAAGUACUUGCUAUUUUGUGAUAGUCAAGGUGCAAUUCAUCUUGGUAAGAAUUCAUGUUGGUACUUGCCAUUUUGUGAUAGUCAAGGUGCAAUUCAUCUUGGUAAGAAUUCAUGUUGGUACUUGCUAUUUUGUGAUAGUCAAGGUGCAAAACAAAGCCUCAAACUGGUAGUACCACGAAGAUACCUCAAAAUCCAUUUCACAGCAUUCCAGUGCUCUCUACCUGGAUUAGACAGAAAUCUACUAAUUGUACCAACAACAUGUGCAAUAUCAGGCCUUGUACACACCAUUGCAUACAUUAAACUACCCACAGCAGAUGCAUAAGGAACUCGUUGCAUAUCUGAUUUUUCAGCUUCAUUGGUAGGACUCUGACUAGUACUCAAUUUAAAAUGAGUAGCAAGAGGAGUACUUACAGCCUUAGCAUUUUCCAUCUGGAACCUCUGUAACACUCAAUCAACAUAGUGUUCUUGUGACAGCCAAAGUUUCUUCUUGUUCCUGUCACGCAUGAUUCUUAUACCAAGAAUCUUCUUAGCAGCUCCUAAUUGCUUCUUCAACCUGUCAAUCAAGGAAAUAUUUCUCCCAACAAUAAGCAUGUCAUCAACAUACAAUAACAGGAUAAUGAAAUCCUCAUCAGCAAACUUUUUAACAAAGACACAGUGAUCAAAAGUAGUCUUCUUGUAGCCUUGCUCACACAAAAUUGACUCAAACUUCUUGUACCACUGACGCGGGGCCUGCUUCAAACCAUAUAGACUCUUUCUGAGCCUACACACAUAGUCUUCCUUGCCUUUAACAAGAAAACCAUCAGGUUGCUUCAUGUAAAUCUCUUCCUCCAAAUCACCAUGAAGGAAAGCAGUUUUUACAUCCAUUUGCUCUACCUCCAAAUCAAGAGUAGCAGCCAAACUCAACACAGUUCUAAUGGAUGACAUCUUCACCACAGGAGAAAAAAUCUCAUUGAAAUCAACACCCUUUCUCUGUCUGAAACCUCUCACAACUAAUCUGGCUUUAUAUCUUGGAGAUGUAGAAUUGCUUUCUUGCUUCACUCUGAAGAUCCACCUGUUUUCCAAAGCCUUCUUUCCCUUAGGUAGUUUCACCAAAUCAAAAGUGUGAUUAUCAUGCAAAGACUUCAUUUCAUCUUGCAUAGCAUCCAACCACUUCUUCUUUUCAUCACUCUCCAUGGCUUCAUCAUAACAUUCAGGUUCGCCUCCAUCAGUCAAGGUAACAUAGUCAUAAGAAGGAUACCUGGUGGAUGAUUUCCUCUGCCUAGUAGAGCUCCAAACUUGAGCUUGAGGUGGUUCAGGAGCAUCACCAAGAUCCUCAUCUUGUGACAUCUCAUGUUCUUCUUCAGCAUCAUCAUUAGGAACAUCAAAAUCAUCUCCAAGCUCCUGAUCACCAACAUCACCAUGUUGCUCAUCAUUCUGAACAUUAUUUUCAGCAGUAUCCAGAUCAUGUAUAGGCAUCCGAACUGGAUCAACAUCAGACAAACCAUUAUCAAUCUCAGGUGUAGUCUUCUCCAUCUUAUCAAUGUCUUCAAUGGUUUGGUCUUCCAUGAACUUCACAUCACGGCUUCUAACAGCUUUCUUCUCAACUGGAUCAAACAGCUUGUAGCCAAAUUCAUCCUGACCAUAACCGAUAAAGAUGCACUGUCUUGUCUUCGCAUCCAACUUGGAUCUCUCAUCCUUUGGAACAUGCACAUAUGCUUUGCAACCGAAGACACGCAAAUGAUCAUACCUGACAUUCUUGCCAAACCAAAUCUUGUCUGGCACCUCAGCAUUCAAAGCAACUGCAGGACUCAGAUUAAUAACAUGCACUGCCGUGUACAAUGCUUCACCCCAGAAAUGCUUAGGCAACUUUGCUUCAGAAAGCAUACACCUAACUCUUUCAAUCAAUGUCUUGUUCAUUCUCUCUGCUAAACCAUUCAGCUGAGGAGUUUUAGGAGGAGUCUUUUCAUGUCUGAUACCGUGCUGCUUGCAAUAAGAAUCAAAUGGUCCACAAUAUUCACCACCAUUGUCAGUACGAAUGCAUUUGAACUUCUUUCCUGACUGUCUCUCCACCAUAACAUGGAACUCUUUGAAUUUCUCCAGAACUUGGUCUUUUGUCUUCAAAGCAUAGACCCAAAGCUUCCUGGAACAAUCAUCAAUAAAAGUAACAAAGUAAAGUGCACCACUAAAUGACUUUACCUUCAACGGGACACAAACAUCAGAAUGCACCAAUUCAAGCAACUCUGACUUCCUUGAGGGAGCAUGUUUCUUGAAGGAUACUCUAGUCUGCUUACCAGCCAUGCAAUGAGAAUAUUUCUCCAACUCUGAACUCUUUAAUCCCGGAAGUAAAUCCUUUUUAGCUAAAAAAUUCAGCCCCUUUUCACUGAUAUGACUAAGCCUGCGGUGCCACAAAGAAGACUCCAUAUCCAUGGCAUUCACACUGUCUUUAGCAACCAAUGCUUUAGUCCAAUAUAGUUUAUUAAUUUUCUCCCCUCUGGCCACAACUAAGUUACCUCUGGUGAGUUUCUAUUUUCCUGAACCAAAGUGAUUAUCAUAACCACCAUCAUCAAGCAUCUGCACAGAGAUCAAAUUAAAGCGAACAUUUGGAGCAUGUUUGACUCCUCUAAGCAACAACUGCACUCCCAUGUUGGUCUGCAAACAAACAUCACCAAUACCAACUACCUUGGACACACCAUCAUUACCCAUCUUCAACACUCCAAAGUCACCAGAAGUGUAAGAUGUGAAGAACUCCUUCCUUGGUGUAACAUGCAGUGUAGCACCACUAUCAAUAAUCCACAUGCUCUCAUCUGAUACAAGAUUGACUGAGUCAUAGUCACGGAGAAUAAUCAGAUCAUCACAAGUAGCAGUAGUAACACGGUCAUCAUCAUCAUGAUUCUUAUCUCUCUACUUACUGUUAUUGUUUUUGCUCUCCCUUUUCCAUAUGAAGCACGGUCAUCAUCAUCAGAUCAUCACAAGUAGCAGUAGUAACACGGUCAUCAUCAUCAUCAUGAUUCUUAUCUCCCUGUUUGUUCCCUUUCGGCUCCUUUCUUUGACUUCGGCCCCUGUUCUCAGUGACAAGUACCUCGGAAUGAGAUGAAGUACCUUGUGCCUUCCUUCUCAUCUCCUCAUUAAGAACACUUCCUUUUACACUUUGCAAAGAGACAACACCAUCAGAAGCUGAGUUUGUAAUUGAAACCCGAAAAGUUUCCCAAGAAUCUGGUAGAGUAUUCAGUAGCCAUAGUCCCAACACUUCAUCAUCAAAUUUGAUACCCAUACCUGACAAUUGAUCUAGGAGCCCUUGAAAAUCAUUUAAGUGAUCUGAAAUAGAAGUCCCCUCCUUGUACCUCAAAUUCAUCAAGGAGUUCAACAAACACAACUUAUUAUUAUCUGAUUCAGAAGCAUACUAAGAUUCAAUCUUCUUCCACAAGGAUCUUGCAUGUUCCUUAUUAGCAAUGUGAUUAUAAACAUUAUCUUCUACAUAUUGCCGAAUAAAACCACAAACCUGCUGAUGUUCAAAACUCCAAUCCUCAUAAGUCUUGGAUUCUGGCUUCUCACUAGCAAACACAGGAAGAUGCAAAUUCUUCACAAAUAACAGAUCCUUCAUUUUUCCCUUCCAUAAGUGAUAAUUAGUGCCAUUCAAACAAAUCAUUCUAUUUGUAUUUGCCUCCAUCAUUCAAACAAGUCAAACAUCCCCUUAACCAAAGAGCUCUGAUGCCACUCUGAUGGGAAAUUCAGCAACAAAUAACAAUAACAUCUAACAGAGCAAUAUGCAGCGGAUAAUCAAUUUCCCACACUUGCAAGAAUCUGUGAGGAGCAACAACAAAUAAUCACAGCAACUAAAAUCACUACCACAAAUGACACAAUAAUUUCAGUGUGAGAAGUAAACAACCACGGGACCAAGCCAGUAAUAGAGCUCCACUAUGAUCAAAAUAUGGGUACAAGAGAGUUUCAAAUAUGCACAAAUUCGUGCUCAGUAACCAGACAAAAAUCAGCAAGGUAACCAGCACAACAAUCGGCCAAAACAUUGAGAAAACAAGCAUGAAAUUGAGAACAAAGUUCAACAGAAAAACUAGGAAAAACAGCUACUGUCCGAGCUCAAUAUCUCCCACCUCAGACCUCUGAUCGACGAUCCAACCGGUCAGAUUGAAGUACCAUGAGGCACGAAGCUGCGGUCCAAAUUUCAGCCCGAUCCGACGGUGAAAGAAAGAGAAAUCGCGAAUCUAGUGCAGCUGCUCUGUUUUAUGCGAAAAUGGGUUUUGCUCUUCCUCUCUCACUUUUCUCUUUGCCUCACUCUCUAAAUUCAGCUCUCUCUCCCACUAAUCUGACCUCUCUCCACUUGGUUAAGUGAGACACAUGGGGUUGCACAUAUUGGGCCUUUCUCCACAUAGGAAGGGAGCCCAAAACCCAACAAUACACUGAUCCAUUAAGUUGGACAAACUUAUUUUAAGUUCAAGAAGUUUACUAUCGAAAAGUUGUUAGAAGCUUUUCCUCAAGAUUUUAAGGAUAAAGAUCUUCUCAAAUUUAAGGAUAAGCUCGAGUUCAAAAUACUUUUGAGCGUGUUGAUGCAGUUUUACUUAUUCAUAUAUUUGUAAAAAUCUCUCAAAGUAUUUCCAUUGUGAAAAUCUUUCAAAACAUAAACUUUUAUAAAAAUCUCUCAAAGUAUUUUAAGUUCAAAGUAUUUGUAAAAAUCUUUCAAAACAUAAACUUUUAUUGUUUCUAGCAACCUUUAAAUACAAUAAAUUAAUAAUUUGAAAUUAAUAAAAAUAAAACUAUCCAUAUAUAAAUUUAUAACAACCCAUUAUUAAUUAGUAAUUUGUAACAAUCCAAAACCUCACAUAAUUACUAUAAUUAAAAAUCAUAACGAUAUAAUGAUCAAUAAUAUUAAUAGAUUUACCUGGAUCUCUUGAGAUGGUAACAAGCUGGCUCACUUAGCAGCAACUUUAGCUGAAUCUGUGGACAGUCUCCCCUCCAGAUGUGAUUCAAUUAAUAGAGCUGCUAAGGACAACAGCACGAGCAAUAAAUAGAUCUCAGAUCAGAAGGAUCUGCACCUGCUGUUGGUUUAUUCUCCACCUUGUCUGGUGCAUCUCAAAUCCCUCACUGGUUCUGGUUUCGGUGCCACCGUUGCUGGCCUUACGUAAAUAUUUUGUUUUGCUUUCCAGAGGUUGUUAUCUCGUUUGGUGUUUUGAGUGGUUGGUAUUGCAAAACUUUUCAUGAGUUUAAAGAAUCUCUUUGUCUCUACUUUACUGUCACCGUUUGAGCUGUUGAUGGGAUUACUUUAUGCAUGUGGAGCUUAUCAAAUUCAAUGCUUCCAUGUGUUUACAUUGUCUUUAUGAGUUUUAGUAUAUUAUUAUUAUGUUCGUGGUCCAACAUGACUACACGGUUUUUUUUACCCUUUAUGGGUGUUAGAUGUAGCACUU